rnacentral:rRNA from 1 species
GUCUACAACCAUGCCACUCUCAACAAGCCCGAUGUCUGAUUCCAGAAGCUAAGCAGGGUUGAGCCUGGUUAGUACUUGGAUGGGAAAUGACCUAGGAAGACCAGGUGCUUUGGCAU